GAUGAACGCUGGCGGCGUGCCUAAUACAUGCAAGUCGAGCGAAUGGAUUAAGAGCUUGCUCUUAUGAAGUUAGCGGCGGACGGGUGAGUAACACGUGGGUAACCUGCCCAUAAGACUGGGAUAACUCCGGGAAACCGGGGCUAAUACCGGAUAACAUUUUGAACCGCAUGGUUCGAAAUUGAAAGGCGGCUUCGGCUGUCACUUAUGGAUGGACCCGCGUCGGAUUAGCUAGUUGGUGAGGUAACGGCUCACCAAGGCAACGAUGCGUAGCCGACCUGAGAGGGUGAUCGGCCACACUGGGACUGAGACACGGCCCAGACUCCUACGGGAGGCAGCAGUAGGGAAUCUUCCGAAAUGGACGAAAGUCUGACGGAGCAACGCCGCGUGAGUGAUGAAGGCUUUCGGGUCGUAAAACUCUGUUGUUAGGGAAGAACAAGUGCUAGUUGAAUAAGCUGACACCUUGACGGUACCUAACCAGAAAGCCACGGCUAACUACGUGCCAGCCGCCGCCGUAA
rnacentral:rRNA from 1 species